rnacentral:rRNA from 1 species
GAUGAACGCUGGCGGCGUGCUUAACACAUGCAAGUCGAACGAUCCUUCGGGAUAGUGGCAGACGGGUGAGGAACACGUGGGAACAUCCCUUUCAGUUCGGAAUAACGUUGGGAAACUAACGCUAAUACCGGAUACGUCCUUCGGGAGAAAGAUUUAUCGCUGAAAGAUUGGCCCGCGUCUGAUUAGCUAGUUGGUGAGGUAACGGCUCACCAAGGCUACGAUCAGUAGCUGAUCUGAGAGGAUGAUCAGCCACAUUGGGACUGAGACACGGCCCAAACUCCUACGGGAGGCAGCAGUGGGGAAUAUUGGACAAUGGGCGCAAGCCUGAUCCAGCCAUGCCGCGUGAGUGACGAAGGCCUUCGGGUUGUAAAGCUCUUUUGUCCGGGAAGAUAAUGACUGUACCGGAAGAAUAAGCCCCGGCAAACUUCGUGCCAGCCGCCGCCGUAA